GGCGAACGGGUGAGUAACACGUGAGUAAUCUGCCUCUGGCUUCGGGAUAGCCACCGGAAACGGUGAUUAAUACCGGAUAUGACAUCUUCACGCAUGUGAUGGGUGUGGAAAGUUUUUUCGGCCAGGGAUGUGCUCGCGGCCUAUCAGCUUGUUGGUGGGGUAAUGGCCUACCAAGGCUUCGACGGGUAGCCGGCCUGAGAGGGUGACCGGCCACACUGGGACUGAGACACGGCCCAGACUCCUACGGGAGGCAGCAGUGGGGAAUAUUGGACAAUGGGCGGAAGCCUGAUCCAGCAACGCCGCGUGAGGGAUGACGGCCUUCGGGUUGUAAACCUCUUUCAGCACAGACGAAGCGCAAGUGACGGUAUGUGCAGAAGAAGGACCGGCCAACUACGUGCCAGCAGCCGCGGUAAUACGUAGGGUCCGAGCGUUGUCCGGAAUUAUUGGGCGUAAAGGGCUCGUAGGCGGUUUGUCGCGUCGGGAGUGAAAACACCGGGCUUAACUCGGUGCUUGCUUUCGAUACGGGCAGACUAGAGGCAUUCAGGGGAGAACGGAAUUCCUGGUGUAGCGGUGAAAUGCGCAGAUAUCAGGAGGAACACCGGUGGCGAAGGCGGUUCUCUGGGAAUGUCCUGACGCUGAGGAGCGAAAGUG
rnacentral:rRNA from 1 species